GACAAAAGGGAAUGGAGGCAAUUUCGGAAUUACCCCUCCGAUCUGGCACUCACUCGCGUGUUCAAAUCCUGAAUUCCAUUUGGAGCACUCUUUUUUUUCCUUCUUCCGCCUCUUCUUCUUCUCUUGCGCUCCUUGUUUCUCAACACUUUGGGUUGCGUCUCCUAGAGACAGAGAGACAGAGGGACCUUCUCCUCCUUCUUCUUCUUCUCCUUCUUCUCUUGUCCAUGGACCUUCACAACCGACCAGAUCACUGUUUCCCGGAGAAGAAAGGUCAGAAGAGGAAGUUGGAGGAGGAUUUCGAAGACGACCGACAGAUCUCCGCCCCUCCCACCGGCCACGCUCGAGACGCCCUCCUCUCCGACGUCAACGAACAGGUUAUCGUCCUCGAUUCCACCUUCUCAUGGAAGGAAUCCGAUCGUGCUGCCGCCAAGCGCGCCACGCACGCCCUCGCCGAUCUCGCCAAGAACGAGGAAGUGGUGAACGUGAUUGUUGAAGGAGGCGCAAUUCCUGCUUUGGUUAAACAUCUUCAAGCGCCUCCUCUGGCUGGAAGCGACCGGUUGCAGAGGCCAAUGCCGUUUGAGCACGAGGUCGAGAAAGGUAGUGCUUUCGCGCUUGGACUUCUCGCAGUCAAGCCGGAGCACCAGCAGCUCAUCGUUGACAGUGGUGCUUUGAAACAUCUCGUUGAUCUUUUGAAGAGACAUGAAAAUGGCUUAACAUCUCGUGCCAUUAAUAGUCUAAUUCGUAGGGCUGCAGACGCGAUUACUAAUCUUGCUCACGAGAACAGCAGUAUUAAGACUCGUGUCAGGAUGGAAGGUGGGAUUCCACCGCUAGUUCAUUUACUUGAAUUUGCGGAUACAAAGGUGCAAAGAGCAGCUGCUGGUGCAUUGCGAACCCUGGCUUUCAAAAAUGAUGAAAAUAAAAAUCAGAUUGUUGAAUGCAAUGCCCUUCCAACUCUGAUUCUAAUGCUCCGUUCAGAAGAUGCUGCUAUUCAUUAUGAAGCGGUUGGUGUGAUUGGAAAUCUGGUCCACUCUUCCCCUAACAUAAAGAAAGAAGUUCUUCUUGCUGGAGCCCUACAACCGGUCAUUGGAUUACUUAGCUCCUGUUGCUCUGAAAGCCAGAGGGAAGCAGCCUUGUUACUUGGACAGUUUGCAGCAACUGAUUCAGACUGCAAGGUUCACAUUGUUCAGAGGGGUGCUGUCCGACCUCUGAUAGAGAUGCUUCAGUCCCCUGAUGUUCAGCUAAAAGAAAUGUCUGCUUUUGCAUUGGGGAGAUUGGCCCAGGACACACAUAACCAAGCUGGUAUUGCACACAAUGGUGGCUUGAUUCCAUUACUGAAGCUUCUUGACUCAAAAAAUGGGUCUUUGCAACAUAAUGCUGCUUUUGCUCUUUAUGGCCUUGCAGAUAAUGAGGAUAAUGUGGCCGAUUUUAUUAGGGUAGGUGGAAUUCAGAGACUGCAGGAUGGAGAGUUUAUUGUUCAAGCAACUAAGGAUUGUGUUGCAAAGACAUUGAAAAGAUUAGAAGAGAAGAUUCAUGGGCGAGUGCUGAACCAUUUGUUAUAUCUCAUGCGAGUUUCAGAGAAGGCUUUUCAAAGAAGAGUUGCUUUGGCUCUUGCUCACCUUUGUUCUGCAGAUGACCAGAGAAAAAUAUUUAUCGAUCACCAUGGUUUGGAGUUGCUUAUGGGCCUUCUUGGCUCGUAUUAUAACCCUAAGCAACAACUUGAUGGAGCUGUGGCUUUAUGCAAGUUGGCCAAUAAAGCCACAACUCUGUCUCCCGUAGAUGCUGCACCCCCAUCUCCCACACCCCAGGUCUAUUUGGGAGAGCAGUAUGUAAACAAUGCCACCUUGUCUGACGUUACAUUUCUGGUUGAAGGCAAACGAUUUUAUGCUCACAGAAUUUGUCUGCUUGCAUCUUCAGACGCAUUUCGUGCUAUGUUUGAUGGAGGUUAUAGGGAGAAGGAGGCACGGGACAUAGAGAUUCCAAACAUUAGAUGGGAGGUUUUUGAGCUGAUGAUGAGAUUUAUAUACACUGGAUCAGUUGAGAUCACGCUUGAUAUUGCCCAAGAUCUCCUCCGAGCAGCUGAUCAAUAUCUUUUAGAAGGACUCAAGAGACUCUGUGAGUACACGAUUGCACAGGAUAUAUCACUUGAGAGCGUAUCAAGUAUGUAUGAACUUUCUGAAGCAUUUAAUGCUAUAUCGUUGAGGCACACAUGCAUUCUUUUUAUCUUGGAACACUUUGAUAAAUUGAGUGGAAAGCCAGGACACUCCCAUCUGAUUCAGCGUAUAAUACCUGAGAUCCAGAAUUACUUUGUUAAAGCCCUUACAAAGGCCAAUUCCAACAAUCACCCGUAGAAUUUACUGUUCUAUUUGACAUCUAACCAGUUGCAAUGUACAUAAUGCGGUCGAUGUUAAUUGAACCUGCGAAGGAAGUCUCCUGGAUUGAGUGCAGCAUGGCUUAAAAAAUUCUAACAUCAGGUCGUGUACGUUCUUUUCUGAUGCAGUAACUUCUGGUGAGUUUUCCCGUGAGCAGAUGGAAGGUCUUGUUGGAAAAAGGCUUUGAUUGUUAUUUUUGAAGACAAAUAAGAAAAGGAUUGAACUGCUUUUUUCUUGGGCAGUACUACAAUCGAGGAAAAAGAAUCCCCUCAAGUCACUCCCAACGGUGUACUUUCACUUGGAAUGGGCCAAUCGGCCAAACUCAAGUCUUUUUAUGCUUGUUUCAUGAUUAGAGUAGACUGCAAGUCAUUCUCUGCACGUGUAUGAGAUAGUGCAGGCUGUCCUUACCACAACAGCAACAAGCAUCUUAGAACACCCAUGAUGAGCCAAGCUAGGAGCCCCAGGAGCCAUUGGAUUGAUCAUGGGCAUCAGAGUAAACAAAGUUCCUAAUCAAGGACGGAUGGGCCUCUUCAAACCCAUAACAGGUUCGCGUACGCACGGCUUUGAACCCCAGAAGUAAGCAUGGUUAAGAUAAACACCAUGAACUUUUACACAACCUGGUAAAGCUUCAACCUCAGCACGCAUGGCUAUAUUAUGAACAAUACUAACACAGCAGCGACGGCCCCAACAAAUAUCUUGCUGAAACAACCAUGGUUGAUGAGCCACUUGUCGCUGUUGGUGGGAUUUGGGGUUGCAUGGGAAGCAACCCAUUUGAAACCAGCCCUACAAUCAUGAUAAACUGUUAGGUUGCAGAAUUUCUACGCUCUAUGGAAACGAUUAUAACAUUUCCAGAGAAGCUACUAGGUUGCAGAAUUUGGUGUUCAGAGCAGAAGCCAGCUCCAUUGGAGUAUAUACUAAAAUGAGGAUUUUUUUGGUUGGGUAGAGUUAGUUUUAGACGGAAAAGUUUGAGAAGAGAAUGUGUUGUAUGAGAGAGCGUGGGUGGACUGAGGGAGGAGUUCUUGGUUGGUCAUUAGGACGUUGGAUGGAGCCAUCGUUGUAGACAUGUAACAUUUCAAGAAUGCAAAAUUUAAUCACAACACUUUCCAAUCA